rnacentral:rRNA from 1 species
GUGUGAAACUGCGAAUGGCUCAUUAUAUCAGUUAUAGUUUAUUUGGAUGAAUUUUUCUAUGGAUAACCGUAGUAAUUCUAGGGCUAAUACAUGUUAUAAUCUCUUUGAGAUUUUCUUAUUAGAAUAAAACCAAUUGUAUUAGUGAGUAAUAAUAAUAGAAUCGAUCGCAUGCUUUUGUAGCGAUAAUCCUUUCAAGUUUCUGCCCUAUCA